rnacentral:lncRNA from 1 species
UCGUAGACCUAUCUGUUUCUCCUUUCAUUCUACAGUGUUUGCUUAAUAUAUUUAGGAGCUCUGAGGUGUGUUGCAUGUACAUUUAUAACUGUUACAUCUUUUUGGUGAAUUGACUGUUAUCAUUAUCUCUUAUAACAGCUUUUGACCUUAGGUCGAUUUUGUCUGAUAUUAGUAUAGCUACUCCUUCUCUAUCUUAUUUCAUCCUUUCACUUUCAACCUGUGUAAGUCUCUCAGUCUUCUGAUGGUGGAAUUCAUUUGUAUUUUUAAAGAUUAUCAUUCUGAUGCAACUGACUAACCUGGUGACUGUGUCAUGAGGCCCACAGCCAAGGACUGCGGUGACCAGUUGCUGUGGGGAGACUCCAGCACAUUACUGACGGGACUUCCCGAUGGGGAAGGACUUCCUGGUGCCACGCUGUUGAUUGUUUUCUGCAUGGCUUAUGGUUUGCUUUCUCUGUCAUUUCGUCCCUUUGUGUUUAAUUGAUGUUUUUAUUGUGACACACUUAGGAUCUCAUUUGCUUUUGUGUACGUUCUGUAGAUAUGUUGUCAUUACCAUGGGGAUUACACGAAACAUCCUGAAGUUAGAGCAAUCCAUUUUAAACUGAUGUUUUGUUGAUGGCUGACGUAGCGGACUCAAAACAACGAGCACUUCUGCUUGAUACACAGAUUCUCCGAGGUUCCUGUGGAGCCACAGCACCUCCUGUCUUGGCACUUCAUAGUUGUCUCAUCGAGUCCAAGGCUGCCUCCCAAGGGUCUGGCUGGUAGACCAUGAAGUUGAUUCCUGCCUUAAGCCUGGCUCUGCAAGAAGUUGUCCUAUAUUCUCACCAGUCACAUUUUUGGUACUAGAACGGUGCUUUUUAUAGUGCACUCGUAACUGGACGCUGAAAUCACAGCCUGGCCAUUUGGAUGUUCAACCGAUGCUUUAUGCUGCUGAGUCCUUGGAACUCACUCCCCGUGCCGGAACUCACUGGAGCUCAGAGGGGAAGACUGAGGCUCAGCAAACGAAAGUCACGAGGCCAAGUUCACCUGGCCAGGGAGACAGAGGAGGUGGAUGGAAACGCCGAGAGAGCACCUGCUACGUCACGUGCCUUGGCUACGCAGGCAGCGGGAACCGGUAUCCAGACUCCCAAAAACCACCCUGUGAAAUAUCUGAUCCCCUCCUACAGAUGAGGAAACACAUGCUCAGAGAGGUUCCUUCCUGGGAUCACCUGGCCAGGUCAGGGCAGAGUAGGUAUUGGAGGCCAACUCUGCCCCUUCCUACUUCCCAGGGCUGCUGGGAGUAAGGAGGGGGAGGAGAUGGUACCAGUAAUGGCUAAUAGCAAAUACUUACGUAGUGGCUGUUUUCUCUCAGGCACUGCUCUAAGCGAUCUAUGCCUACGACUAUAUUUAACCCUUGCAAUAUUAACCCCAUGGGAGAUAGGGCCAGUACAAUUAUACCCAUUUUACAGGGGAGGAAACUCAGGUACCAGGAGGCAGCUAGGCUGGGAUUCAAACUUGGGCAGCCCAGCCACUGCCUCUCUGUUAUAGGAAGGGCCGGGUGUUGGGACUGUGGAGGAGCUGCCUUGUCUUGGCGCCAGGGCCAGGCCUGGGGUUCAGCAGGCGUUCCCCCGACCCAGAAUGAAGCUCUGGCCCCAUCCAGAAUGCUGGUUUGCAGUUCCUCAGAUAGCCACUAGAUGGCGGGGCCGCCCAGGCAGUUGGGGGCCUGCUGGCCAGGGAGGAACCGCAGGGAUGCCGGGAUAUCUUUCCCAGGGACU